CCCAAGGGGACAAUUCCCGCGUCAGAGCUGCUGGGCGGGUUUGAGGGGUCUGUGGUCAUCGCCCAGAGAAUAGGGCCUGGCCGCAUCAGGAGUUCUAGAUUGCUCGGCGUCUGCGAUCCAGAAUGGCAUGGCCUUGCUCCAAAUUCAGGAAACUGAGUUGUGAUUCUUUCACUGAUCCUUGGCAUAAAACCCAGACUACAUUGUUUCCCAGCACUGACAUCUCCAGCAGGAUCUGCCACUAUCUGGAUCUUCUGACCACUUUCCUUCGAUAGGUCCCAUUCAAAUCUGGCAACCUUUUGCACGUCUCAGCAUAUAUUAGGCCAAUGUGAUGUUCCUUGGUGUGCAGUAUGUUGCCUGUAGAACCUAAAAAGAUAUACCAGUUGCAGGUGAAUUCAGGGAGACUGGAAGAACACGGAGAAGGGCCUUUAUGCUAUCUUACUUCCACUGCUUGAGUUUCCCAAAUAAUGUUCGCCAGCACCAAGGAACAUCCCUACAAUAUCUAAUCAUGAUUCAUCACUUCACAUUUGAAUCUUUCCCAUAUCUCAUAUCACUCCUCAAUUGAUUAUGUCAUUAA